UUUGAAGCCCAUGAGGAUGAGAACCUCCGGGGGCGGGGAGGUUCGACUCGAGCGAAGCGAGAGAACGUUGCGCCAGCAACGGCCCGCAGGGCGAGCCACGAAGUGGCGAGUAAUCCUCUAUCACCGACCA
rnacentral:sRNA from 1 species